CCUGGCGGCACUAGCGCGGUGGUCCCACCUGACCCCAUGCCGAACUCAGAAGUGAAACGCCGUAGCGCCGAUGGUAGUGUGGGGUCUCCCCAUGCGAGAGUAGGGAACUCCAAAC
rnacentral:rRNA from 1 species